GCUUUACGCCAUACCACUCCUGAGCACGCCCGAUCUCGUCCGAUCUCGCGAAGCCAAGCAGGUUUGCCUGGUAGUACUUGGACGGACCAGACCGCCUGGGACUACCAGGUGCCUGUCACC
rnacentral:rRNA from 1 species